GAUGAACGCUAGCGGCAGGCUUAAUACAUGCAAGUCGAGGGGCAGCGCAGUGUAGCAAUACAUGGGCGGCGACCGGCAAACGGGUGCGGAACACGUACAGAACCUUCCUUUAAGCGGGGGAUAGCCCAGAGAAAUUUGGAUUAAUACCCCAUCGUAUUGUUGAGUGGCAUCACUUGAUGAUUAAAGAUUUAUCACUUAAAGCUGGCUGUGCGGCUGAUUAGGUAGUUGGCGGGGUAAUGGCCCACCAAGCCUUCGAUCAGUAACUGGUGUGAGAGCACGACCAGUCACACGGGCACUGAGACACGGGCCCGACUCCUACGGGAGGCAGCAGUAAGGAAUAUUGGGCAAUGGACGCAAGUCUGACCCAGCCAUGCCGCGUGGAGGAUGAAGGUCCUCUGGAUUGUAAACUUCUUUUAUUUGGGAAGAAACCCGGAUUUUCUAAUUCGGUUGACGGUACCAGAUGAAUAAGCACCGGCUAACUCCGUGCCAGCCGCCGCCGUAACAC
rnacentral:rRNA from 1 species